rnacentral:rRNA from 1 species
GAUGAACGCUGGCGGCGUGCCUAAUACAUGCAAGUCGAGCGGAAAGACCUGCUUCUUGCUCCUCUGACGUUGUCCUCGAACGGCUAAGUAACACGUAGCUAGCCUACCUUUUGGCCUGGGAUAACUUCUAGGACCCGGAGCUAGUACCUAAUAAUCUAUUGAACCGCAUGGUUCCGUCGUGAGUGGCGGUUUUGCUUUCACUUGUAGAUGGAUCGGCGCCGCCUUAGCUGCUUGGUAAGGUGACGGUAUACCAAGGCAACGACGCGUAGGCGCCCUGAGAGGGGGAGCGGCGACAGUGGAACUGAGACACGGUUCAGACUCAUACGGGAGGGAGCAGUAGGGAAUCUUAAGAAAUGGGCGAAAGCCGGACGGUGCAACGCCGCGGGAGUGAGGAAGGUCUCCGGAUUGUAAAACUCUGCUACUAGGGAAGAACAAAUGGGUAAGUAAUUAUGCACGUCGUGACGGUAGCUAAACAGAAAGCCACGGCUAACUACGUG